UGAGUUCUAGCAUUUGGAACUAAAUGAUGAAACGCCUUCUAAGUAGCAACCAAGCAAAGAAUAAUGAGAUCAUGCAACGACUUUAGAAAACAAAGAAUGCACAGAUUUUAACUCUCCAAAUAAACGUUUAGGCUCAAGUCUCACAAGGUUGUAGCGUUAGUUUGAGUUCCUUCCUUCAAGCAUGUUACAAAAACUGAUUUUUUUCUUUUAUGAUUGCAUGUGAAUUCAUAAGUUAUAACCACA
rnacentral:lncRNA from 1 species